CUGCUUUAUAAGGCAGAGCGCCGCAGCUAGCAUCAUCCCUGGAACGAUACAAAGAAGAUUAGCAUGGCCGCUGCGCAAGGAUGACACGCACAAAUCGAGAAAUGAUCCAAAUUUUA
rfam:Triticum aestivum genome assembly, contig: Triticum_aestivum_CS42_TGACv1_scaffold_290173_4AL